rnacentral:lncRNA from 1 species
CAAUUCCAAUUUUCCCACCCCCAACAAUAAUUGAAUGUUGAGAGAUGAAUUGAAGGCACGUACUUAUAAUAAGGCAUUAGCUCGGUUUUGGUUGGGGGGGGGAGAAAAGAAAUAUUAGCAUGUGACGAUGUGAUGUUAAAGUAUAUAUUGUGUUGUUGUUCCCUUCUUCUUUGCUUCUUUUUAUUGGUUCUCAUCCCAAGCCCUAAAUCAACCCCUACACAUCUGAAUUAUCUCUCCAAAUUCGGUAUGAUCCGUCUCCGAUCCUCCCAACUUUGUCAUAACUACCUGUGAGUCACCUUCAAAUAUUACCUGCUGAUGGCCAAUCGAUAUUACCCACCGGAGAGCCUCAAGCAUUGCCACUGCUUUACCCACCCGCGCCGAUCAGCAUCCCGGAUAGGUAAGCAUUUUGUAUCCCACUAUGGUGCCAGCUUGGUCCAUGAUAACCAUUCCAACACCCAUACACUGAAUGUCGCUAAACGAGGCUAUAUCGAUAUUACAUUGCAGCAGGUUUGCGGGCGGAGAAUGCCACCUAGGACAAUAUACUCUUAUGUUCGGUUGAGUUGUUGUCGGACGUUCUUGAGAUGUCUCCCACUCAUUGAUCUGUUGUAGUCCUUCCAAGACCGCAAGAGUUGCCGGUUUACUUCCAUUGUUCCACACACGGUCAUUCCUUUCUCUCCAUAUGCACCAGAUACCAGUCGCUAUGUUCCGACAUACAUCCCCCGGUUGAGUCGAAACCAAUUGCCACAACCAUCCAUCGACUUCUGUGGAGUUAAUUCCAUAGUUUCCGCCAGUCACCUUGUUUGUGAAGAGCCUAUCGGUCGACCACAUGG